GAUGAACGCUGGCGGCGUGCCUAAUACAUGCAAGUCGAGCGAACAGACGAGGAGCUUGCGCCUCUAACGUUAGCGGCGGACGGGUGAGUAACACGUGGAUAACCUACCUAUUAGACUGGGAUAACUUCGGGAAACCGGAUCUAAUACCAGAUAAUAUAUUGAACCGCAUGGUUCAAUAGUGAAAGACGGUUUUGCCGUCACUUAUAGAUGGAUCCGCGCCGCAUUAGCUAGUUGGUAAGGUAACGGCUUACCAAGGCGACGAUGCGUAGCCGACCUGAGAGGGUGAUCGGCCACACUGGAACUGAGACACGGUCCAGACUCCUACGGGAGGCAGCAGUAGGGAAUCUUCCGCAAUGGGCGAAAGCCUGACGGAGCAACGCCGCGUGAGUGAUGAAGGUCUUCGGAUCGUAAAACUCUGUUAUUAGGGAAGAACAAAUGUGUAAGUAACUAUGCACGUCUUGACGGUACCUAAUCAGAAAGCCACGGCUAACUACGUG
rnacentral:rRNA from 1 species